GUGGUGAUUAAACACGAGCUGUCAGCAUAUUCUCGUUUUCUACAGUUAACUCUGCAUUAACGAUAUUAAUAGCUUCUAUUACACAGAGCGAGCUGCUUUACAGCCCCUACUGGGUGGUGACAUGUAGCCUCCAGCUGGGGCAGGUAACAAGCAAAUAACAUGGAGUGUACCAGUUAACUUGGGGAAAAUGGCUGCAAAAACUCAUGCCAUCAAAAGGAAUGGGAAAUUUUCUUAUGGUUUCAGCCCAAAGACGAAACAAACAUUUCAGGUGUGGAGCAGCCAGGUUGUGGGGUUACGUGGGUAGAGGAUCAGUGGGAAUUUCACAUUGGUGACAGCAGAAGAAGGUGCCUACUGUCUGUAACACAGUCUACGAGGCCACUGCAGAAGACAGAAAUAAAAAGAUGGUGAGGAAGAAAAGGACACCCGGUGACCUUGCAAUUGUACCUGUGCUAGGAUGGAGCAGUGCAAACGUGCCAAAAGGAAAGCAGCACAUCGUGAGGAUUCCAGCCUUUAUCUGAAGAACAUCUCUUAUCCAUAAAGAUCAUGGAGAGCUUUACAGCUGUGGAAGUGUGAAUAACACUGUUGAGUCCUUUCAGGCAGAGAGGUGAAAAGGCAGUCAUUGGACUGGGAAGGGGUAAUUGACUGGUGGCUUCUGUGACCCUGCUACUCAGAGAGAGAAGGACCUUGUCAGUCAGACAAAAAUUACUGCUUGGCAGAAGCACAGAAAUUUAGUCAUAUAGCUCCGGUUAUUAGUGAGGUCUGUGAAUCUUAACCCUUCAUACAAUGCUUUAAAAAUCAAGAAGAGGCAAAGUUAACAGCAGUUUAAAGGCAUUUAUGCCAUUAAUCAGAAACAAGCAAGCUGUCAGUGUCUCUCCUUUAAAAAAGCACAAUUAGAGAACCACGGGAGAGCAGGGAAGAUGGUGAAACCCAAGGAAGCCUCCAGGAGUUCUGCUUCCUGCAGUGCUAAUGAUGCUCCACAGAGGCAUGGGCACACAGGGGGCCUGGUUUGUGGCUGGAGAAGAAGGCUCAAGGUCACUGCUCCAAAUUUCACUUUUACACUGAAAUGUAAAAGGAAUCACUCGAGCCUUACAGAGACCGAGAGCAGAUCUUGGCACCGUCUUGUGUUUGUGGCCUCCCCAUCAUCAGAUGAAAGCUUUGCAGUCCAGCUGAGUUUGAGCGACCUUUACAACUCAAGAAAUCAAAAGCUUUGCUAG
rnacentral:lncRNA from 1 species